rnacentral:rRNA from 1 species
GACGUAGGGGGCCAGCGUUGUUCAGAAUUACUGGGUGUAAAGGGUUCGUAGGCGGUGCGGCAAGUUGGGAGUGAAAUCUCUGGGCUUAACCCAGAGGCUGCUUCCAAAACUGCUGUGCUUGAGUGUGGGAGAGGCGCGUGGAAUUGCAGGUGUAGCGGUGAAAUGCGUAGAUAUCUGCAGGAACACCCGUGGCGAAAGCGGCGCGCUGGACCACUACUGACGCUGAGGAACGAAAGCUAGGGGAGCAAACAGG